rnacentral:antisense_RNA from 1 species
AGGAGAGCCCGGAGCCGGAUCCACUCUCAGCCUCAGGAAGCAGCAGCCUCCGCUCCGCGGCGGGUGUGCUCGGCAGUCACAGACCCACUCAGGACACCUCCCGUUGCCGACGGGCUAGACCUGCCUUAAAGGGGUCCCCGUGUCUCUCCAGUCUAGAGCCUAAGUUCAAACGAGGCGUAUAGGCGAGGACAGCAGGAAGGCUCCAAGUCAAACAAAUGGAUGGGAAGUGGUCUUGGGAAACCUGAAGACACUGGGAUAUUCAGAAGGCCAAGGGGAUCCAGCUUAUCCUGUUGGGCAAGGUGCUGGGAGUGAAGGCAGGUCACCUGAAUGAUACUGGUGCCAUUUCUGAAGUUGGUGAAACUCCGCAUUACAUCCUGACUCAGAGAUUCCACUGAUGAUUUCCAGGAACUACCAAAGCCACGGAUCAGCUGAGUUACCCGGGCUAAUAGCAGGAGGAAACAGUGUCAGAGAGGGAUCUGGCUGAUCUUCAACUCCACUAAGUUCUCCCCAAGGGUCUUGCUCUGUCACCCACGCUGGAGUGCAGUGGCACAAUCACAGCUCACUACAACCUCAACUUUCCUGGCUCAGUGAUUAUCCCACCUCAGCCUCCUGAGUAGCUGGGACUAACAGGCAUGUGCCAACAUGUCCCACUCAUUUUUUUUUUAUUUUUUGUAGAGAUGGGGUUUCACCAUGUUGUCCAGGCUAGUCUCAAACUCCUGGGCUCGAGCGAUCCUCCCUGCCUUGGCCUGUGCUGGGAUU